AAAAAGCUGAAUACGGUCACUCAUAUAUGUUUGAUAAUAUGGAUCGAACGUUUCUACCUUGUUACCGUAAAUAACAAGACUAUGAGUAAAAAGUAAAUCUAG
rnacentral:ncRNA from 2 species